rfam:Gasterosteus aculeatus cont1.002264, whole genome shotgun sequence.
AUCUUUGGUUAUCUAGCUGUAUGAGUGGCGUACAUUCUUCAUAAAGCUAGAUAACCGAAAGU